rnacentral:lncRNA from 1 species
GUGAAAGAAGAGGAGAAGCAGAAAUUGUUGCAGCGUGGCAGUGAACUGCAGUCUGAGCACCAGCAGCUAGAGGAGCGGGACCGGCAGCUGGCCUCAGCUGUGAAGAAAUGCUUGGAGCUGAAGACAAGCCUCCUGGCCCGCCAACGGGGCACACAGUCAUCGCUGGACCGCAUCCGGGCCCUCCUCAGACUGAUCCAGGGUGAGCAGAUGCUUCAGGUCGCUAUGGCAACCACCAGCCCCACCCCACUUCUGGCCGGGCCCUGGACCAAGCCUUCCACCACCACCACCAUGCGCACUACCCUCCAGCACCCCCAGAAUCACAACUGACCCCAGGGACCUGUCUAACACUCAUGGAAAGUUACUGGGACCUUGCUCUCAAGACCUGGAGGAUCUGUCGGCCUUAAUUCAUAAACUCUAUGAAUUUUAGACAAAAAUAAAACUAGAGAGUGAUGAGAGAAAGGAGGAGUGAGAUGAGUGUCCUAGAGCCAGAACCAGCCUGAGGUGGACCCCUCCACCAGUUGCAGGGUACACCCGGAGGCCAGGUGAAGGUGUCUCAGAUCCAGGCACACUAGGCCCACGAGGCUGCCAGACCUCCCUGGCCUUUGGGUUUCAUGACCAGCUCUCUCCUUGCGUUGUCCCCCUCAAGACAGGAAGACUUUAGACUUUGGAGAGUGAGGCAGACUGGGCCACACACCGCUUGUGAGGACUCAAGCUGACAACAGGUAGCUGGUUAGUGGGGGUGGGCGGGGUGGGCCUCUGGUGCAAGAGAGGGUAGUUAACCUAGGUGGUUCUCCAGUGGCCCUGGGGCUUCCUGUGCCCCGCUGGCCCCUAAUCCAUCAGUAUUACCAUGUUGAAAAUCAGUCAUUUAACUGGACAAGUGACAGGCCAGCUUCUCUUGGGGUCACCCACUGCUGCAUGGGCUGCCUGGCCUGGCCUGGCCUCUGCCUCUCCUUUUCCCAGCUCACGCUCUUGUUGCUGCCCACCCACCUCUUCCUAUUGCCAAUCCCUGGAAUUUUCCUCAUGGAGUUCAGGGCUAAAGGGAGCAGUCACCCAGCAGGGGAGGCACCUGGCAGGUUUCAACUCAAAACCGGAAACCUUUCGAGCACUCUCCUUUGCAGGAGCCGCCAAGCAUCCUGCCCACUUCAUGCCAGUUAAAGACACUAUGCCAAAAAGAGCUUCACACUUUUUGUAUAGCGUUUUGUUUUUGUUGUAUGAUCCGUAAUGUGAACUGUGCCCCUGCCUGCCUUCCUCUGCAUCUGAUGGUCUCUGCUCCGAUACAGGAACUGGUAACCUCGCCUGAGAGGGACCAGAUGGAGCACCCAAGAAGGGACUUAGAGAUCCAGGGAGAAGGCAGAGAGAGUGGUGCACUUGGGGCCCUGGCCUUGGGAGACUCCAGAGCCCUCAACGCUCUCCUCAAAGCGAUCUCCAUAUUUGCAGGGAGUGUAGGCUCCUAGGCACCCUGGGGGCUCCUGCACCUCUGUGAGCCAUGUAGCCCACUUCCGCAAGCCUCACCCUGUCCCGAGGGACACAGCACAACCCAUAUGUGACCAGGAGCCACAGGGCUCCCCCCACCCCCGAGCAUAUCACACGGUGCCGAAUUGCAGUGAGCACGCACGCGUGCAUGCGCCAGGGCCACAGACGCACACCUGUGCACACAGACACAGGUGCAGAGCGGGAAGGCUGACUGGGAUCCCGCCACCAGCUGUUUUCCCUCUUGUCAUUUCUCACGACUCCGGGAGAAACUGUGCUGUAGGAUACAAAUCUAUUUUAAUACACAUUACACUGGGUUGAACAAGAUUUUUUAUAUUCUUUUAUUGAUGAACAACGUGGGCCCUGCGAGGCACACGCCUUUAUAUAUUGGUUACGCGGUGCCGAUUAUGCGUUACCGCACGGCUGGCGACGUAACUGUCUUCAGGUUCUUUUGUUGGUUUGAUUUUUCUUCCUGGAUGGAUUGAGUUCGAUUUUGCAAGAAACGUGGGAGGAUGUUGGAAGGUUGGACCCGGGAGGGGGAGCUGCUGACGCGUCUCGAGACUUAGUUUUGAUUUUUUUUUUCUUUUCUUUUCUUUUUUGGGACCAAGGGGGACCGUCCAGUGGAUAGUGGCUAGAGAAAGUGUUUGUCUUAAAUAUUCCAGUGUAGUUUUCCUUCUGUAUGAUGCAUUAAAUCCAAUUUC